CUCGAGCGACGGGCUGGAGCCCGGAAUCCGACAGUUUCUGAAAGAAUCAAAGAAAUACCAAGAACUUACAAAUGAAGAGGACCUUCUUAGACCUAUAACUGGGACUAGCCAAUUCUUGAACUGCAGAAGCUUCAAUUUAUUCUCAGGAUAAAAGUCAAAACAAGCCUGUGACUGUCCCUUGAAUACUGAAGGUGUAAACAGGCCUCUGGCUUCCCCAGGUCAAGCACAGGAGCACUUGUUAGAAGGGAAGGAAGAGUUACUUCUUUGUUAUUCAAACAUACACCCACAAGCAUCCUCUUCACCCUCCCUAAUGAAAAGCCUCAACAGAUGGAGAGCCUGGGCUCAGGGGGCCUGCUGGCUGAGGUUGCCCUUCACUGGGGCCAGCUAGCUGGUAAGAUGGGGAAGAAUGGAGAAGGGGCUAGGAUAAGUAAUCACUAUCUUUUAAUAGUUCUUACAGAUAACAACUUGACAAAUCUUGUUCAGCAAGGUGAGUACCCUGUGGGGCCUAGAAAACCAGUGUGGCUGUUGUAUCUCUAAUAGGGACAGGCUUAAAGCUGCAUCAAAGGGAACAUACUUGCACUGUAUUACCUUCCCCUCUCUCAUGUGAAAGCCUGUACAAAGAAAUGGUACAAAUGGAUGGUUAACUUAAUGAUUCCACUGGAGAUGGGUAUUUCCCUGCCAGGUCCUGGAGUGAGCCUGAAAUCUGAAACCCAGAAGGCAGAAUCUAUAGCUAAUUGUUCUUUCUUACCUCCUGACCAGUGGCAGGACUACUGUUCAAGGCCUUUUCCUCAGUAGCUUCUGCAACCCCUGGUUAGCUCCAACUAGAUCCUCCACUCCAGGCUGGGUCCUGCCUUUCUCCUGGUUGUAAGGAAAGCUCUCCUUCUGCUUGAAUCAUUUCUCACCCCAGCUCCUGCUGUGCAGCAAGCUAUCCCUGCCUUAAUUCAUAUUUGAUUGUAGAGAGCCACCAGGAACCCAGGUAGAUGGCCACUCCUCCUGGGUGGGCCUAGGCUUACAGCCCUGACUGCCCUCCCCUUUCUUGAGAUCUUAAGAGACAUCCCCCCCCCCCAGCCCUGAAUGCUGUAGGUAUUGAGGGCAAAGCAGCACUAGCGAAAGGCAGGAGUCUAAGAGCUAUUUCUUCCACUUACAGGCAACCAAGGUAGCUCUCCCAGAGACCAAAGCCCCAGCCAGCAAGGGAAGGCUGGCCUCUUCGCGCCUCUGGGCGCCCCCUGUGCUGCCUCCUCCACGGUGGCCUCUGCUGCAGAACCCGUGGGGAAGCAGUGCACACAAUGGCGCGCAUGCCUUGGGCUUCAGGCUGCUCUGGGUACCCUCAGCGCAGGGAGGCCGAGAGCAACUUCAAGGCCUGAGUGCGCACCCCUUUCCCCCCAGAGCAUUCUGCCCCAAGCGAGGCCAGAGCUGGGGUGGGGUUCUGCUUCCCCUGCGGACUUUGCCUGCAGGUACUGCUCUGGGUCCUCCCAGAGAAAAGAGGCCGCGGCCCUGGGUGCCAUUGGCGGCCGGCUCCCCUCCCCCACGCUUCUUUCUUUGCUUCUGCGAGACCCGGGAGGGAGGAGGCAGGCGCCUCUGCAGAUAGAGCCGCUAUUGUGACCUUCCCUUGCGAGCGGGAACCCAGCCGAGUGCGUACCCGCUGUCGGUAGCGGGGGGAGGAGAAGACUGUGUGCAAACCUCGGCUGGGAGGGGGUGGCCCUGGGAAAUAAAGGUUUGCAACCUCGG